CAGGAACAAUACUUUGCAUCCUUCAAUCUAAUCAAGUUGUCACUCAGUAUUAACCAUCUUCUUACUGAGCAGUUGACUCAAUAACAUUGCCAGAGAACUCUGUUAACAGAAGCAUUGUUUGUUGUCCUAAGUCUGUCAUAAUAUGCUGUAUAACCUUUCAAGAAACAUUUAAAAUGUCCUCUUUCAAGCAAUGAAAUGUGCAUUCCUUGAAUUGAAAGAACUUGAGCCUCCUUGAUGUGUUGCCUGACACGGUGGGAAAGGUGAGCCCCUGAGUGGGGGACUCAUCCCGGAUCCCAUUCUCUCACAGGUUUGUGAAAGCGGAAGUCACUUUCCUUCUGACCUUGGCAUGCAUCCUGCUUCAAGAAUGGAGCUGGAGGCAUAUCCAUUCUGAUUACAAAGAAAAUUUAAGUCACUCUCCUACAGAAUUUUAAUUUCAAUAAUUGUUUUAGUAAUUUGCAAGUAUGUGGCAUGUUUUGUCUUAACUAAUAGAAAAAGUGUCCUUUUUCAAAAAGAGAAGUGUUAAUAUAAUAAUAAUAGUAAUGACUUCACAGGGUGUGUGUGUUGCGUUCCAAGCACUUUAAACAUAUGAACAAUUUAAUCCUCUCUUCCUGGGCGCUGCCUAUGGAGGUGGCAGCCAUCUCCUCCUUGGCAUCAUGGCCGCCCUCGGACCCCUUGUGAAGGCCAAGAUCAUCAAAAAAAGAACCAAGAGGUUCAUCCGGCACCAGUCAGACCGAUAUGUCAAAAUUAAGCGUAACUGGUGGAAACCCAGAGGCAGUGACAACAGGGUUCGUAGAAGAUUCAAGGACCAGAUCUUGAUGCCCAACAUUGGUUAUGGGAGCAACCAAAAAAAAAAGCACAUACUGCCCAGUGGCUUCCGGAAGUUCCUGGUCCACAACGUCAAGGAGCUGGAAGUGCUGCUGAUGUGCAACAGAUCUUACUGUGCCGAGAUUGCUCACAAUGUUUCCUCCAAGAACCGCAAAGCCAUCAUGGAAAGAGCUGCCCAACUGGCCAUCAGAGUCACCAACCCCAAUGCCAGGCUGCGCAGUGAAGAAAAUGAGUAGACAGCUCGUGUGCACGUUUUCUGUUUAAAUAAAUGUAAAAACUGCCAAAAAAAAAAA